AACGAACGCUGGCGGCGCGUUUUAAGCAUGCAAGUCGAACGGGAUUCAUCCUUCGGGAUGAUGAGAGUGGCGAACGGGUGAGUAACACGUAGAUGAUCUGCCUUGAAGUUGGGGAUAGCCUAUAGAAAUAUGGGGUAAUACCGGAUAAUCUCUUACGAUUUUGAUUGUUUGAGGAAAGGGGCUUCGGCCUCGCUUUGAGAUGAGUCUGCGGCUUAUUAGCUAGUUGGUAGGGUAAUGGCCUACCAAGGCGACGAUAAGUAGCCGGCCUGAGAGGGUGACCGGCCACAUUGGGACUGAGACACGGCCCAA
rnacentral:rRNA from 1 species